GGGUUGAGGCUCAGUGGUAGAGUGCUUGCCAAGAACGUGCAAGGCCCUGGGUUCAAUUCUCAGCAGCACA
rnacentral:tRNA from 1 species